rnacentral:tRNA from 1 species
GAGGGUAUAGCUCAGAGUAGAACACGUGCUUAGCAUGCAUGAGGUCCUGGGUUCAAUCCCCAGUACCUCCA